rnacentral:lncRNA from 1 species
GGACCCCAAACAGAAGGAGGAAAAAACAACUAAACGCCGCUUUCCUGCCUCAGGAUGAACUGACGGCCUUGAAUGUAAAACAAGGUUUCAAUAACCAGCCUGCUGUCUCUGGGGAUGAGCAUGGCAGUGCCAAGAACGUCAGCUUCAAUCCUGCCAAGAUCAGUUCCAACUUCAGCAGCAUUAUUGCAGAGAAAUUACGUUGUAAUACCCUUCCUGACACUGGUCGCAGGAAGCCCCAAGUGAACCAGAAGGAUAACUUCUGGCUGGUGACUGCACGAUCCCAGAGUGCCAUUAACACUUGGUUCACUGACUUGGCUGGCACCAAGCCACUCACGCAACUAGCCAAAAAGGUCCCCAUUUUCAGUAAGAAGGAAGAGGUGUUUGGGUAC